rnacentral:tRNA from 32 species
GGGGCAUUAGCUCAGCUGGGAGAGCGCUACACUGGCAGUGUAGAGGUCAGCGGUUCGAUCCCGCUAUGCUCCACCA